UCUGUUUUGAACUCCAUAUGGCUAGUCAGAAAGGAGCAUAAAUGAGAUGAAUAGGUGUAAUAUAUUUUAUGCUGCUACAUUUUAUUUAUCAAAUUCUUCUUAUUCCAGCUUAAUUGCACUAUGUUAGUUAUUAUUUAUUUUCUUUUCCGUUUUCUCCAGCUUCCUAGGAUGUUACAGCAAGAUGCAAUUGCACGCUAUUAUGGACUUGAGAAGGGACAAGUUGUGAAAGUUAUUUAUAAUGGCGAAAUUACUGGGUCACAUGUUACCUACAGUGCAAACCAAAUCACAAGAGGAAGAGGGAAGAAUAUCUGGAAGUCUAGAAGUAUUGGGGGCAUGUAAAUACUAGGGAUUAUCCCACUGCUACCAGUGGGUGCAAAUGGUAAAGAAUAAUCUUGAAGGAAAACUUGAGGUAAGCAUUUCACUAUAUUAUAGGCCCUUGGGAGGGUUAGACUGGUUGCAGGUAGGAAUAACUGGAGAAGAGAUGUUUGGAGAAUGGUGGUCCAGAAGGGUCUUGUCUUCUGCAAUGACCCUUUUGGUAUUGAAAAGAACGUGUAAUGCCUUUCAUUUAUUACUCCAUAGUCGAAUGAUUCAAUUUCCCCAUUCACCGUGAGCAACAUCCUCUGGAGCCAUUCUAGGGUGAAUAUUUUUUCUAUGAAAAAAUAAAAGCUAAUAAAGCAUUUUGUA